GUAAACAACUUACUCUAUAAAUAGGGAGGUGUAAAGACAAUUUCUCCAUGAGUAUCAAUGAAUUAUCUAUUAUUAUUAUUAUUAUUAUUGUUGUUGUUGUUAUUGUUGUUAUGUACUUGAUGAUGGGAGCUUCACAAAUCCAAGGGGAUGCCUUUUUCGGCAAGCACCUGCCGGAAAAGGCAUCCCCCUGUUAAAACGGGCUGUACUGCACCUACACUGCUGAAACUUGCACAGGUAACUUAAAACUCUCUCAAAUACAAAGUCCUAAAGGCACUUGAUGAUGGGAGCUGCAGAAAUCCAAAAUCCAAGGGGAUGCCUUUUUCGGCAAGCACCUGCCGGAAAAGGCAUCCCCCUGUUAAAACUGGCUGUACUGCAGCUAUGCAGCUGAAACUUGCACAGGUAACUUAACACUCUCUCAAAUACAAAAUCCUAAAGGCACUUGAUGAUGGGAGCUGCAGAAAUCCAAAAUCCAAGGGGAUGCCUUUUUCGGCAAGCACCUGCCGGAAAAGGCAUCCCCCCAGUGAAAACUGGAAUAGUUGGAAUAGUUUUAUUAAUAUUUUUUAUUAUAAUUUGCAAAUAUGAUCUAUGUCUUCUUUACUGCAAAGAGUCAUACCUUAUGUGUAAUCUAAUGUGGCGAUUAAAAUAGUUAGUUUUCAGCCAAUAUAAAAUUUUGUAAAAUGUCUAUUAUGUAAUGGCUUGUGCUUGUGGUAUUAUAUCUUUGUAUGCUUGUGGCCACAGUUUUUCUACUCAAUGACUGUGCCUGGUCCUUACCUGUUGUGAUGCAAUUUUUAGUAUCUGUUGCUAUCUUACCAUUUGGUCACUGACAAAGGAUAAGAGCCAAAACUUUGAAACCAGAUAGUCAGGUGCCCAGAGUAAUUACUGCCAUAAAGUUGUCACAUGUAUGGAGAAGCCUCCGGGGAAGGCAAGAGAAAACUAUUUUACCUAAGGAAUAAUGCUGGAAAUAUCUAGUGGUGGGCUUAGAGGGCAAAGUAUUACUGCUGAUUAAUUUUUUUCCCACCACAAACGUUGCCUUACGAUAGUAUGCACUGUGUGCCUAAAUCGUCCAGAGUUGCGGUGGCUGUACUCUUCAAAGUUCGUAUUUGCACAUAAUACAAUAACUGUGUUCUAUAUCCCAAAAAAAACGUUUUUAAUGAGCACAUUCCACAAGAAAGUAAACGCUUUCGCUGCUAAACAGAAAGCUACAAAUUAUACUAGAUUGUAACAAAACUAAAAACAAAAAUAAAGUGAUACAAUAAACCAGCCCAUUGCAAACCACAGCUGCAAAAGAAAAACAUCUUGCUUCCCUAAUUUAUAACAUUAUGGAUAUUUCAGCACACAACAUAUACGUUCUGUGGAAAGAGCGAAAUCCCAGAUGGAAGGCAAGCAAAAAGCAAAGUCUCAGAAUAUUCCUGCAGGAGCGCCCAUCGCACCCAAUUUGGAGAAGCCCAGCUCAGUGAACGGGGCAAUCUUUUAAAGAUUUAAAGGGCAUUCAUGUGGAAAAAGGGGUGUAAUGUGUCCAAAUGGCCCUGCAGUGCUCUGCCACAUGAACGUCAGCGAGACGGUUCAUCAUGUGGCAUUCUUACUUUAAAAGUAAGUGUACAAGGGACUUCUGUUGUGUUAUCAGCAUUAACAUCAGUGAAAUUAAAUAGAAAUAGUAAAUGACCGUCAACUCUUUUAAAAGCUUGAAGGUAGUUUUUAAAGUAUCAUAUGAUAUAUAAAACAAGAUUUACAUUUUGUUUAUCAUGAGGGUAACAUUUAUAGUGUAUUUUAAUGCUCCCUUAUCCUGAUGAAAUACUCACAAUGCCCUUAAGUUUGCUGAGUGCAUCUUGAAGGGAGUGCCAAUCAACAUCCUGACCACAGAGGAGGCUGUGAACCAGAUGAGGUGGGAUGUUGCAAUGAAACUUCUUGAAGAAUCAGACAAUCUCAGCAACCUGUGUCAUUAUUGUGGGUUGGAUGAAAAUGAAGACCCAAAUUGGAUCUGCUGUGAUAAUUGUGGGAGGUGGUACCACCAUGAGUGCGUACAGAGGCCGCCACUGCACAAGAACUACCUGUGCCCUGCAUGUAAAUAAAUGUUCAGUUCUUGCUUUUUUUUUGUUAAUUGUUGUUUGCAUUUAUUUUUUUAUGUUCUUGUUCAUUUAAUUUGGAAAAAUUAGUUAUUUAUUGAUUAAUUAUUAAUUCUUGUUGUUUUAAU